rnacentral:rRNA from 1 species
CGGACGGGUGAGUAAUGUCUGGGAAACUGCCUGAUAGAGGGGGAUAACUACUGGAAACGGUAGCUAAUACCGCAUAACGUCGCAAGACCAAAGAGGGGGACCUUAGGGCCUCUUGCCAUCGGAUGUGCCCAGAUGGGAUUAGCUAGUAGUGGGGUAACGGCUCACCUAGGCGACGAUCCCUAGCUGGUCUGAGAGGAUGACCAGCCACACUGGAACUGAGACACGGUCCAG